AGUGAACGCUGGCGGUAGGCCUAACACAUGCAAGUCGAACGGCAGCACAGGAGAGCUUGCUCUCUGGGUGGCGAGUGGCGGACGGGUGGGGAAUACAUCGGAAUCUACUCUGUCGUGGGGGAUAACGUAGGGAAACUUACGCUAAUACCGCAUACGACCUACGGGUGAAAGCAGGGGACCUUCGGGCCUUGCGCAAUUGAAUGAGCCGAUGUCGGAUUAGCUAGUUGGCGGGGUAAAGGCCCACCAAGGCGACGAUCCGUAGCUGGUCUGAGAGGAUGAUCAGCCACACUGGAACUGAGACACGGUCCAGACUCCUACGGGAGGCAGCAGUGGGGAAUAUUGGACAAUGGGCGCAAGCCUGAUCCAGCCAUACCGCGUGGGUGAAGAAGGCCUUCGGGUUGUAAAGCCCUUUUGUUGGGAAAGAAAUCCAGCUGGCUAAUACCCGGUUGGGAUGACGGUACCCAAAGAAUAAGCACCGGCUAACUUCGUGCCAGCAGCCGACGUAA
rnacentral:rRNA from 1 species